rnacentral:rRNA from 1 species
GUGAAUUUUUAACGGCCGCGGUAUCCUAACCGCGCGAAGGUAGCAUAAUCACUUGUUCUUUAAAUGGGGACUCGUAUCAACGGCAUCACGAGGGUUUUACUGUCUCCUCUUUUUGAUCAGUGAAAUUGAUCUUCCCGUGAAGAAGCGGGAAUAUUUAUAUAAGACGAGAAGACCCCAUGGAGCUUUAAACCAAAUAGCAACUUAACCAUAUAUUGCCUAAUAAUUUUAAGCCUGUGCUACAAGGUUUUUGGUUGGGGUGACCGCGGAGUAAAGCACAUCCUCCACGACGAAAAGACUACAAUCUUUAUUUAUGAACUACAAUUCUAGAAAUUAGUAUACUAACGUUUACUGACCCGACAAUCGAUCAACGGAACAAGUUACCCUGGGGAUAACAGCGCAAUCUACUUCAAGAGCCCAUAUCGACAAGUAGGCUUACGACCUCGAUGUUGGAUCAGGGUAUCCCAGUGGUGCAGCCGCUACUGAGGGUGGGGCUUGUUCUUCAAUUAAAAACCUACGGAGGGCUGUGUUUUUGAACGCGAGG